UCCGUCGGCGACGGACGGACCUACCGCUUUUGGACGGAUCCUUGGAUCGAUGACAAGGCCAUCUCCGAGUUGGCUCCAUCCCUCCUUCCACUCGUGCCUCGUCGUCGGCGUAAGCGCACGAUGGAGGAAGGGUUUCAUGGCCGUAGCUGGGUGCCCGACCUCCAUGGCGCCUUGACACCAGGGGCUAUGACCGAGUAUGUGCAACUUUGGAGGUUACUCAGACCCAUCUCCCUCUCCUAUUCUCCAGACCGCCUAGUCUAG
rnacentral:rRNA from 1 species